rnacentral:tRNA from 2 species
UUAAGACUUUAAGUUAAAUAAACUAUUUGCCUUCAAAGCAAAAAAUAUAAAUAAAUUAAGUCUUAAA